UUAAGGCCUAAUUUUUCCCUCUAUAGUCUGCUUUACAGCUGCUAAGCAUACUUUUUAAAACUCUCGAUUCCCUUAAAAGUCAUUUCCUCAAGAAUUAUUACUGAAAAAUGACUUUCAUUGAAUCCAAGAUGCUUCAGAAUGAAAAGUGAGGUCCACAGCCCAUUCAGAUUAGCAUGCAAUUUUUUGUCUACAAAAAUAGAGCUGUUAGGGAAGUACCCAAUCUUCAUUGCCUGGAGAACAACCAAGGGUGAAUCUAGUGUGCUAUGCUGAAGAGACCUACUGCUGCUUCUGCCUCUUGUCAAUCACUUAAAGAUUUAUUUUCUACCCAUGACCUCAUGGUAAGUCAAUGGGAAGGAUUAUUACUAACCCGACAUUCUUAAGUUCCAAUGUUACUGAAUUUUAUUUUCUCCUAUUAAGCAUCUGUUAUUUUAUGCUUUUGUCAUUUACAUCAGGACUUUGAGAUCAUGACUCAUUCCAAGUCAACAGUGGGAUCACAGAUGGUGUCAAAACAAAAUCUGUUGCUUGAAAACAUGAAGGCACUUCGUAUAUCAUCCACGGCUUUCCCCUCUUUCACUGUAUCUCUUUAAGCUCUAUUUCAGAACUGAGUAUUUUCUUUCAUUGUUCCUAGGACAAGUCACUGUAUUCAUAGUUUGGUUAUGUUAUGCCAUUUAAUUUUUCUCCAUGACAUUUAUUACCAGCUCAUAUUCAGCCACAUCAAUUUUUUUAAGUAUUUAUUUUUUAGUUGUAGUCAGACACAAUACCUUUCUUUUUAUUUAUUUAUUUUUAUGUGUUGCUGAGGAUCAAACCCAGGGCCCCGCACCUGCUAGGCCAGCACUCUACCGCCGAGCCACAACCCCAGCCCCACAUCAUUUUUUAAAAUCAUCAAAAUACUACUAUGUCAGUUGAUAAAGAGUGGCUCUCUGUCCUAAGCCCUCCAGUGCCUUCACGACCCCACUCUUCCUCCAGAUUCCAUGGAUCUCUCUAUCUUCCAGCACUGAAAGAGUUAGCACCUCAUGUCCUUCGAGGAUCCUACUCCAAGACAACCACCGGUAUCAUUUCUGAUCGGUCAGUGCCAGCGCCAUACCAACUUAUAUUUCACAUUUAUCACCACACAUACUGAGUGGCAAGGGGCAUAGACUUCUUUGUUUUGUUCAGUGCAUCAUCCCUAAUGUCUCCUUGAACUGUGUUUAGCAGACAGUAGACUCUCAAAUAAUUAUUGAAGGAAAAAAUGAAGUGCAUCUAUGCCCAUGGUACCAAAAACAUGAGAUGUGAAUCAGGAGAACCACUCAGUCAGGAAAACAGGGAAGACCUAGGAAUUAAGUUAUGAUUUUUUUUUAUAGAAGACAAAUAAGCUUUUUUUCUUUGGUUAGCAGCUUUAACUCAUGGCAUUAACUCUUAAUACUUUAGUUUUUCAGGCAAGGUGUUGUAAGCCAAAAUUGGCUUCCAGGUCCCAAAUUGGUAACGAAAUACUAGACCUGGAAAUGAACACUAGUCAUAUUAUACUUUAAGCCAACAAAGCCUGGAGGUGUUUCAGGGAAUGAGGCAAUCUUGAUGAGUACAGGGCAUCCUCCUGUGGUGGUAGAGACAGAGUCACCCAGAAUAGCUAAGAAUAACUAAGCUUUGUCAGACAAGUUUUGUUUGGUCAUUAAUUAUAGAGCUGUUAAGUUGACCGUCAAUGCAUCAACAAAACAUGCAAGGCCACGAUUCUACACUCUCUUGUGCGUUUUUCUGCCUUUCCAUAUGAUCUGAAAGGCAUCCUUAUCCAGAACUUCCCGUGUUGUACUCUGUCAUCUUAAUACAAAUGUUGUCCUUCUGAACUUGUUUUGAGACCAUAUGCUCAUUUUCAGAAGAGGAGACGCCAACUCCUCCUCUGUAUUUAUGAUCAUCCAGUUCCGCCUCCCUCAGCCCCUUUCCAGCAGAUUGUCACCUUCAGGAGCCUAACACAUGAUUUAUGUGAGCCCAGUUUUUACUUAGAUCCUCUCUUUCAUCUUGCUGGUCUACACCACCCAUCUGCUUGUGUGAUCCAGAUUGAUGUGGGAACCCUCAGGUUUGCUGGAGACUGGUAUUUGUCCCUGUGAGAGGUUACUAAAAGUUUAGCCUUCAAAGUACAGAAUCUUUAGCAACAUUAUUUCUAUUGCUGCAGGCAUUUCUCUACCUAUUUGCCACUUGGGCGAUCCCUGGAGUCAUCAGAUUGGCCAGUCUUCUCCCAGCCUGGAAAUAGGCCUGUGGGUUAUACCAAAAAUAUCUUCUUCCCACUGUUGCAGUAACAGGGGAGUUCUACUAACCUUCCAGAUGAAAACAUUGAGGAUGUCCGAGGUUAAAUGGCCCAAUGUCACACAAGUAGUAGAGGCAGAAUUUGCCACCCGAGUGUGCCUGGCGUUGAAGUUGACUGAAUUCUUUCAGCUGUCCCUCACAGCUCUCUAGUAACAAUACCAGACAACUUUUUUAAGUGACAUGUGUUAUGCCAAGAUGCCUUGUCAUUUCUUCUUCAUCAAUUGAGGACCAUCAUCUCUUUCAAAGUUGGAUUCAAAGAAAAACAACAACAACAACAAAAAUACAACGUGUGACCUAGAAUAUUCCCUGCCUUGGCUACCAUGGAUCUACUAUGUGAAAGAGGUUCCUGGAUGUUUUCUUCAGAAGUUGCUGAGUCUUUGUGGCUGAAUAAAACUCCA